rnacentral:tRNA from 2 species
GCGCCUGUAGCUCAGGGGAUAGAGCAACGGAUUCCUAAUCCGUGUGCCGCAGGUUCGAAUCCUGCCAGGCGCACCA